rnacentral:rRNA from 1 species
AUGAUCUACCGCAACUGGUCCCUGCUCUCCUCCACGGUGGUCAUCUGGGGCAGCGUCGGCGCCGCCGGCCUCGUCGGGAUCUUCCUCUUCGGCGACAAGGUAACCAGCCAACCCACCACCCACCGCGCUGCUCCCUCCCCCGUCCCUCUCGAAACCUCUUCAGGUGAGGAGCUCAUCUCCUGCAGCCUCCAUCCACCUCGCGUCCGCCUCCGCCGCCAGUAG